GAUUCGUUCCCUUGAAGCAAAAUCAAUCGUGUUGCUUUCGUUAUUUAUAUAAUUCUCCCUAUGAAUCUUCGGUGAUUUCGUAUUUAUACGAUUUUUGCUGAUGUUGAUUUGGGAGAAUCACAACUGAGCAGCUAUAUAU